rnacentral:rRNA from 1 species
AACGAACGCUGGCGGCAUGCCUAACACAUGCAAGUCGAACGAAACCUUCGGGUCUGGUGGCGCACUGGGGCGUAACGCGGGGGAACCUGCCCUGAGGUUCGGAAUAACUCCCCGGAAGGGGUGCUAAUACCGGAUAAUGUCUUCGGACCAAAGAUUGAUCGCCUUUGGAUGGGCCCGCGUUGGAUUAGCUAGUUGGUAGGGUAAAAGCCUACCAAGGCGACGACACAUAGCUGGUCUGAGAGGAUGAUCCGCCACACUGGGACUGAGACACGGCCCAGACUCCUACGGGAGGGAGCAGUGGGGAAUACUGGAAAAUGGGCGAAAGCCUGAUCCAGUAAUGCUGCGUGAGUGAUGAAGGUCUUAGGGUUGUAAAGUUCUUUUACACGGGAUGAUAAUGACAUUACCGGGAGAAUAAGCUCCGGCUAACUCCGUG